CACAGGGCAGGCAGCAGGUUGGGCUGUGCGGGGCCAGCCGGGUGGGGCGGGCGCUCAUGGUGUGCGAGUGGCUGGUGCCCUUCCUCUUCCCUGGCAACAGGCCUAGAGCUUUGGGCCCGCCUCCUGUGAGGCUGGAGAAUGAGCGGAGCCCCAGUGCCCCCACGUUGAAUGCAAAUGAGAUUUACAGCUUGAUUGUACCUAUGGAAUUCGCAGGGGAACAGAGCUGAAUUACAGUAUUCCACAAACAGCAAGGACACUCCAAAUCUUGUUCUGCUGAGAGUACAAAAGAUACUACUUUAAACAACCUUGGCUUGGAAUUGAAUGACCCCACCAGUGAGAACUGCUUGAGCACAGCCAGCCCUGCUGAAGGAGGAAGAGAGUGUAUGCAGCCCUUACAUCCUGGAGAGAGAUACACAGAUGUACCUGGAUUUCUGGGCAAUUGCAUGAAAAAGCUCCGUCAUGUGAUUCAUUUGCAUUUGUGAACAUUACACUAUAAGCAAUGCCUUCAUUGGGAGAAACAAUGAAGCAACCAGAGACACAAUAACCCCAGGAGCAGAGAGAUGUAUUACUAUUAGAGGGUCAGAGGAAACAGUUACUCAAAAAGCAAGUUCUUCCUGACAGUGUUAUCUUCCCAAAGUGGCCCCUGUAAAACCAUUCUGCCAAAGGAAUAAAUACAUCUCAGCACUGAUCCAGGUGUUUCUAUCUCCAAACUGACUUUCUGUUUGGGCUGUUGCUAAGCGAAGAUCCUGUACCAUUCUGGG